GAUGAACGCUGGCGGCGUGCCUAAUACAUGCAAGUCGAGCGAACGGACGAGAAGCUUGCUUCUCUGAUGUUAGCGGCGGACGGGUGAGUAACACGUGGAUAACCUACCUAUAAGACUGGGAUAACUUCGGGAAACCGGAGCUAAUACCGGAUAAUAUUUUGAACCGCAUGGUUCAAAAGUGAAAGACGGUCUUGCUGUCACUUAUAGAUGGAUCCGCGCUGCAUUAGCUAGUUGGUAAGGUAACGGCUUACCAAGGCAACGAUGCAUAGCCGACCUGAGAGGGUGAUCGGCCACACUGGAACUGAGACACGGUCCAGACUCCUACGGGAGGCAGCAGUAGGGAAUCUUCCGCAAUGGGCGAAAGCCUGACGGAGCAACGCCGCGUGAGUGAUGAAGGUCUUCGGAUCGUAAAACUCUGUUAUUAGGGAAGAACAUAUGUGUAAGUAACUGUGCACAUCUUGACGGUACCUAAUCAGAAAGCCACGGCUAACUACGUGCCAGCAGCCGCGGUAAUACGUAGGUGGCAAGCGUUAUCCGGAAUUAUUGGGCGUAAAGCGCGCGUAGGCGGUUUUUUAAGUCUGAUGUGAAAGCCCACGGCUCAACCGUGGAGGGUCAUUGGAAACUGGAAAACUUGAGUGCAGAAGAGGAAAGUGGAAUUCCAUGUGUAGCGGUGAAAUGCGCAGAGAUAUGGAGGAACACCAGUGGCGAAGGCGACUUUCUGGUCUGUAACUGACGCUGAUGUGCGAAAGCAUGGGGAUCAAACAGGAUUAGAUACCCUGGUAGUCCACGCCGUAAACGAUGAGUGCUAAGUGUUAGGGGGUUUCCGCCCCUUAGUGCUGCAGCUAACGCAUUAAGCACUCCGCCUGGGGAGUACGACCGCAAGGUUGAAACUCAAAGGAAUUGACGGGGACCCGCACAAGCGGUGGAGCAUGUGGUUUAAUUCGAAGCAACGCGAAGAACCUUACCAAAUCUUGACAUCCUUUGACAACUCUAGAGAUAGAGCCUUCCCCUUCGGGGGACAAAGUGACAGGUGGUGCAUGGUUGUCGUCAGCUCGUGUCGUGAGAUGUUGGGUUAAGUCCCGCAACGAGCGCAACCCUUAAGCUUAGUUGCCAUCAUUAAGUUGGGCACUCUAAGUUGACUGCCGGUGACAAACCGGAGGAAGGUGGGGAUGACGUCAAAUCAUCAUGCCCCUUAUGAUUUGGGCUACACACGUGCUACAAUGGACAAUACAAAGGGCAGCGAAACCGCGAGGUCAAGCAAAUCCCAUAAAGUUGUUCUCAGUUCGGAUUGUAGUCUGCAACUCGACUACAUGAAGCUGGAAUCGCUAGUAAUCGUAGAUCAGCAUGCUACGGUGAAUACGUUCCCGGGUCU
rnacentral:rRNA from 1 species